AAGACUGUACUUUCAGGUAUUAUUUUUAUAGUUCUUAACUAAGAAAUGCGUUUUGGAAGUGUUGAGUCUUCUAAACUACGAGGAUGAACUUUGAUGCUUUUUUCUGAGCGUGAGUCGGGUGUAGAGUAAUGAUUUGUUUCGUAAGCUUUACAUCGUCGAUGAACGUUUUUUGCUGCGUUUUUGCAGUGAGAAAGAAGAGAGUAGAAUCGU
rnacentral:snoRNA from 1 species